GAUGAACGCUGGCGGCGUGCCUAAUACAUGCAAGUCGAGCGAACGGACGAGAAGCUUGCUUCUCUGAUGUUAGCGGCGGACGGGUGAGUAACACGUGGAUAACCUACCUAUAAGACUGGGAUAACUUCGGGAAACCGGAGCUAAUACCGGAUGAUAUUUUGAACCGCAUGGUUCAAAAGUGAAAGACGGUCUUGCUGUCACUUAUAUAUGGAUCCGCGCUGCAUUAGCUAGUUCGUAAGGUAACGGCUUACCAAGGCAACGAUGCAUAGCCGACCUGAGAUGGUGAUCGGCCACACUGGAACUGAGACACGGUCCAGACUCCUACGGGAGGCAGCAGUAGGGAAUCUUCCGCAAAGGGCGAAAGCCUGACGGAGCAACGCCGCGUGAGUGAUGAAGGUCUUCGGAUCGUAAAACUCUGUUAUUAGGGAAGAACAUAUGUGUAAGUAACUGUGCACAUCUUGACGGUACCUAAUCAGAAAGCCACGGCUAACUACGUG
rnacentral:rRNA from 1 species